rnacentral:rRNA from 1 species
GUCAGUCUUUGUCCAGGGGGCCGCCUUCGCCACCGGUAUUCCUCCAGAUCUCUACGCAUUUCACCGCUACACCUGGAAUUCUACCCCCCUCUACAAGACUCAAGCUUGCCAGUUUCAAAUGCAGUUCCCAGGUUGAGCCCGGGGAUUUCACAUCUGACUUAACAAACCGCCUGCGUGCGCUUUACGCCCAGUAAUUCCGAUUAACGCUUGCACCCUCCGUAUUACCGCGGCUGCUGGCACGGAGUUAGCCGGUGCUUCUUCUGCGAGUAACGUCAAUCGCUAAGGUUAUUAACCUUAACGCCUUCCUCCUCGCUGAAAGUACUUUACAACCCGAAGGCCUUCUUCAUACACGCGGCAUGGCUGCAUCAGGCUUGCGCCCAUUGUGCAAUAUUCCCCACUGCUGCCUCCCGUAGGAGUCUGGACCGUGUCUCAGUUCCAGUGUGGCUGGUCAUCCUCUCAGACCAGCUAGGGAUCGUCGCCUAGGUGAGCCAUUACCCCACCUACUAGCUAAUCCCAUCUGGGCACAUCUGAUGGCAUGAGGCCCGAAGGUCCCCCACUUUGGUCUUGCGACGUUAUGCGGUAUUAGCUACCGUUUCCAGUAGUUAUCCCCCUCCAUCAGGCAGUUUCCCAGACAUUACUCACCCGUCCGCCGCUCGUCACCCG